rnacentral:rRNA from 1 species
UUUCCUUGUCAUUUCCGCCUAUAUACCGCCGUCGUCAGCUUACUCUGUGAAGAGCCUGUAGUAAGCACAACUGGUAAAGCCUAAAACGCCAGGUCGAGGUGUAGCGAAUGGAAAGGGAAGAAAUGGGCUACAUUCAAUAUUUAAUAAUGAACACGAAUGAUAUCAUGAAAGAGAUGUCUGAAGGAGGAUUUAGCAGUAAGUAGAGAAUAGAGCGCUCUACUGAAACCGGCCCUGAAGCGCGUACACACCGCCCGUCACUCUCCCCGAGCUAACCAAAACCAUUACUAAUACACAAAAACUGCAAAGGGGAGGCAAGUCGUAACAUGGUAAGUGUACCGGAAGGUGCGCUUGGAAAAAC